UUUCCGUAGGUGAACCUGCGGAAGGAUCAUUACCGAAUUGUCAACACGAGUUGUUGCUGGUCCCCAAACCGGGGGUACGUGCACACUCUGUUUACACAUCCACCCAUACCUGUGCACCCUCUGUAGUUCUAUGGCCUGGGCGACUUUGUCCCCUCGCCGUGGUUCUACACCUUUACACACACACUGCCAUAAAGUCUCAUGGAAUGUUUGUCGCGUUUAACGCAAUACAAUACAACUUUCAGCAACGGAUCUCUUGGCUCUC
rnacentral:misc_RNA from 1 species